GGGGGUAUAGCUCAGCUGGGAGAGCAGCAGACUGAAGUUCCCACCAGGGUACGUAGUUGGCAUUCUGAAGGUCCCGCGUUCGAUCCGCGGUACCCCCA